GGCAGUUUGGCGGAGUGGUCUAACGCGAUUGACUCGAAAUCAAUUCUCUUAGGAGGCGGAGGUUCGAAUCCUCCAGCUGUCG
rnacentral:tRNA from 3 species